CAGCAGAAAGAGCGACAACUCUUCGACUUUUCUCGAGUCAAGUUCAAAACUGCUUCGAAAGAAAAGGUGGUAAAACUUUGCUUUCAAGAUGAUCUCGAAUUACAUUGUAUCCGCAGUCAUGCUUGCUGCAUACAUUACCUAUGCAGCAGCUGCUAAAGCUAUUCCUAUUUGAGCGUUGAUGAUUCAGCUCCAAGGUAUGCAGAGGUGUGAUUUCAGGCUGAUCGGUUAAAACUCCAUAAAAUGAUCCUCCAAAUUAGCAGCAUAAUGAGAAACGACUUUAUCGAAGACCUGGCUUUAAUACCAUUGCAACGCAUUCCAAGUACUCCACUGGAAAUUCUUCUGUAUUUCACCUCCAUGCGUAAUGAUUUCUUUGUCAAAAAAACGCCUUUUAUAAUUUGAUGUCUUCAAAUAAUUGCAGACUAGUAAUGAAACAAUAAAAAAAGAUUUUACUGCAA